UCACUUUCAAUGUGACUUUCCUUCAUUUC
rnacentral:piRNA from 1 species